rnacentral:rRNA from 1 species
AGAGUUUGAUCCUGGCUCAGGAUGAACGCUAGCGGCAGGCUUAACACAUGCAAGUCGAGGGGUAACGCGGGGUAGCAAUACUCUGGCGACGACCGGCGCGCGGGUGUGUAACGCGUAUGCAACCUACCUGUAACAGGGGGAUAACGGAGGGAAACUUCCACUAAUACCCCAUAUUGUCAUUCUUUCGCAUGUUAGGAUGACGAAAGCUUCGGUGGUUACGGAUGGGCAUGCGUGACAUUAGGUAGUUGGUGAGGCAACGGCUCACCAAGCCGACGAUGUCUAGGGGAGCUGAGAGGCUUAUCCUCCACACUGGUACUGAGACACGGACCAGACUCCUACGGGAGGCAGCAGUGAGGAAUAUUGGUCAAUGGACGGAAGUCUGAACCAGCCAUGCCGCGUGGAGGAAGAAGGUCCUAUGGGUUGUAAACUCCUUUUGUUCGAGAGUAAUAAGUGGGAUGCGUCCCACGAUGAGAGUAUCGGACGAAUAAGCAUCGGCUAACUCCGUGCCAGCAGCCGCGGUAAUACGGAGGAUGCAAGCGUUAUCCGGAUUUAUUGGGUUUAAAGGGUGCGCAGGCGGCGCGUUAAGUCAGCGGUGAAAUCUCCCGGCUCAACCGGGGAACUGCCAUUGAUACUGGCGUGCUAGAGUACGGACGGCGCCGGCGGAAUGUGUCAUGUAGCUGUGAAAUGCUUAGAUAUGCCACAGAACACCGAUCGCGAAGGCAGCUGGCGAGGCCGGUACUGACGCUCAGGCACGAAAGCGUGGGGAUCAAACAGGAUUAGAUACCCUGGUAGUCCACGCAGUAAACGAUGAUAACUUGUUGUCGGCGAUAGAGUGUCGGUGACAAAGCGAAAGCGAUAAGUUAUCCACCUGGGGAGUACGAUCGCAAGGCUGAAACUCAAAGGAAUUGACGGGGGCCCGCACAAGCGGUGGAGCAUGUGGUUUAAUUCGAUGAUACGCGAGGAACCUUACCCGGGCUUGAACUGCAGGGGAACGAUUGGGAGACCAAGAGGCCCGCAAGGGCUCCUGCAGAGGUGCUGCAUGGUUGUCGUCAGCUCGUGCCGUGAGGUGUCGGGUCAAGUCCCAUAACGAGCGCAACCCCUGCGUCCAGUUGCCAUCGGUUCGGCCGGGCACUCUGGACGGACUGCCCGCGCAAGCGGAGAGGAAGGCGGGGAUGACGUCAAAUCAGCACGGCCCUUACGUCCGGGGCGACACACGUGCUACAAUGGCCGGCACAGAGGGAAGCCACCCCGCGAGGGGGAGCGGAUCCCGAAAGUCGGUCACAGUCCGGAUCGGGGGCUGCAACCCGCCCCCGUGAAGCUGGAAUCGCUAGUAAUCGCGCAUCAGCCAUGGCGCGGUGAAUACGUUCCCGGGCCUUGCACUCACCGCCCGUCA